rnacentral:rRNA from 1 species
CAUGCAGUCGAACGAGAUCUUCGGAUCUAGUGGCGGACGGGUUAGUAACGCGUGGGAACGUGCCUCUCUCUACGGAACAGUCCUGGGAAACCGGGUUUAAUACCGUAUACGCCCUUCGGGGGAAAGAUUUAUCGGAGAGAGAUCGGCCCGCGUUGGAUUAGGUAGUUGGUGGGGUAAUGGCCUACCAAGCCGACGAUCCAUAGCUGGUUUGAGAGGAUGAUCAGCAACACUGGGACUGAGACACGGCCCAGACUCCUACGGGAGGCAGCAGUGGGGAAUCUUAGACAAUGGGGGCAACCCUGAUCUAGCCAUGCCGCGUGAGUGACGAAGGCCUUAGGGUCGUAAAGCUCUUUCGCUGGGGAAGAUAAUGACGGUACCCAGUAAAGAAACCCCGGCUAACUCCGUGCCAGCAGCCGCGGUAAUACGGAGGGGGUUAGCGUUGUUCGGAAUUACUGGGCGUAAAGCGCGCGUAGGCGGAUUGGAAAGUUGGGGGUGAAAUCCCGGGGCUCAACCCCGGAACUGCCUCCAAAACUAUCAGUCUAGAGUUCGAGAGAGGUGAGUGGAAUUCCGAGUGUAGAGGUG